CCUACGGGUGGCAGCAGUGGGGAAUAUUGGGCAAUGGGCGCAAGCCUGACCCAGCGACGCCGCGUGGAGGAAGAAGGCUUUCGGGUUGUAAACUUCUUUUGUCAGGGACGAAGCAAGUGACGGUACCUGACGAAUAAGCCACGGCUAACUACGUACCAGCAGCCGCGGUAAUACGUAGGUGGCAAGCGUUAUCCGGAUGUAUGGGGUGUAAAGGGCGUGUAGGCGGGAAUGCAAGUCAGAUGUGAAACCUAUGGGCUCAACCCAUAGCCUGCAUUUGAAACUGUAUUUCUGGAGUGCUGGGGAGGCAAUCGGAAUUCCGGGUGUAGCGGUGAAAUGCGUAGAUAUACGGAGGAACACCAGUGGCGAAGGCGGAUUGCUGGACAGUAACUGACGCUGAGGCGCGAAAGCGUGGGGAGCAAACAGGAUUAGAUACCCCUGUAGUC
rnacentral:rRNA from 1 species